rnacentral:lncRNA from 1 species
UCGAUGCCACCGGCGUCCGUGAGCGCCGGAAUGGAGGAGGUCGGGGGCUAGCGCUACAGCUGUCGCUGUACGCGCCACCUCUAGGUUUUCAAGCCAGAUGCGAGCGAGUGGAAGAGACGGCGGAACGAGGCGGGGGCAUCCAUGAACACCGGUUGGGGGGAUUCGUGUGACGGCCACCUCGGGAAGCAUGACAGCAGGUGAUGGACACACGGCGGCUCCCGGUGACAAAUCGAGGAGAAUUUGUCAUGCAUCCGUAUUAUUUCCUCUUUGGGAUUUUUUUUCCUCCGUGCAAGUUUUUCCUUUGCGAUGAAUUCAAAUGGUGAUUUUAGGUCUUCAUCUUUGC